rnacentral:rRNA from 1 species
UACGGAGGGUGCAAGCGUUAUCCGGAUUCACUGGGUUUAAAGGGUGCGUAGGAGGGCAGGUAAGUCAGUGGUGAAAUCUCCAAGCCUAACUUGGAAACUGCCGUUGAUACUAUCUGUCUUGAAUACCGUGGAGGUGAGCGGAAUAUGUCAUGUAGCGGUGAAAUGCUUAGAUAUGACAUAGAACACCAAUUGCGAAGGCAGCUCGCUACACGAAUAUUGACUCUGAGGCACGAAAGCGUGGGGAUCAAACAGG